rnacentral:misc_RNA from 1 species
GUUUUUUUCAACAGCAUCUAAAAUGGAUCCACUUCUACAAAGCAUUUUUUUUACCAUGAAACUCAAUGCCAAAUGGGGCCAAAGAAAACUAACUCCAACUAUUAGCUUACAUGAUAAGCAUCUCCUCACCAAUCCUCUAAUCCCAGGGACAAUACAUUACCCUUCUCUGUAGAACACCCUUGUCCACAAGGAUGAACCCAACCUUUUCAUUAGAAACUUUCCUCUAAUUUAGCUAAAAAAAUCCCUUAAAACUACUGGAGAAUACUCCUCAAUUGGUUCCAUUUCACCGACCCAAAAUUGCAACCGGAAGAGUAUCCUUACAAACUUGCAAUUCAAAUGUGCUGACCUUAACAUUCUCACAAACACCUGUACACAAAAUCUUUUUACCCGGAAAUUGUUCUUCUUGCUCUGCCUUCUUACUAUUUCCCACUGAUCUUCUAUGAGCAGUAGAAAAGAACAACACUCCAGCACACAAUAACAGCCACCUAACUCAAAUUCAGAGUCAGAAAAAAUCAAAAUCACAAUCUUUCUCCUUCUUAAAAUUUUCCCACCAAGAACAAAUUCUCGUUAAACAUUUUACUUUGAUAGAGAACAAAAAACUUAAACAAAUUUGCUCCCAUCUUCAUUGAUUUUUUCCCCCAAUCCAAAAUUAACCUAUUAACAAAAGCCACUCCCAAGUAACUGAGUAAGUUUUAAUUGGUAGAGUAGGUGAGAGAUAUUUACCCUUCGAAAUGUAUAUUGACAGAUCAAUUUGACUUGUUUGCCAAGAAUCAAAACACUUUGAGGAAAGAUACUCAUCUUGAAUGGACGAACAGUUUAGAUCAUCAUUGAGAUCAGAAUCUUGAUCUUCUUCCUCGAGAUUAGACAUUUCUCCAUGAUUGUAUCGUUCACAAAUGGUUGGUGCUGAUUCCCAUUCAUCAUCUUUUUGCAAUUAAUCAAUUAGUGACUUGAGUUCUCUUAGAAAAUCCUAAAUUUCUUCCAUGUUUUGUUUCAUAGAAGCUCCCCAUGAAGAAAAUGUUUUGACUUUCUAACAAUUCCACCAUACAUCAUUGAUUCUUCUCGUAAGUAUUGCCCUUUAAACCUUCACCAAUUUCUUGCAAAAAAUUUUGAAAAUUGCAUUCAGAAGACUGCAAUUGCUCUCCAAGAAUUUGGAAAUUUGGGUCUUCUGCCAUGGAUUUCUUCAAUUAAAG